rnacentral:rRNA from 1 species
UACGGAGGGUGCAAGCGUUAUCCGGAUUCACUGGGCUUAAAGGGUGCGUAGGCGGCUUGUUAAGUAGGGUGUGAAAGCCCCCAGCUCAACUGGGGAACUGCACUCUAUACUGGCGAGCUAGAGUGAGAUAGGGGUGUGUGGAACUGCCAGUGGAGCGGUGAAAUGUGUUGAUAUUGGCAGGAACGCCGGUGGCGAAAGCGACACACUGGGUCUCAACUGACGCUGAGGCACGAAAGCCAGGGGAGCGAACGGG